rnacentral:tRNA from 1 species
GCCUCGGUAGCAUAGUGGCAAUGCAGCUGACUUGUAAUCAGCAGAUCGUGGGUUCGAAUCCCACCCGAGGCU